CCCCCCUAGGCCCCCAAGCAGAAGUGCGCGGUCCGGCUGCGGGCCCCGGGUACAGUAACUUCACCGUUAGAUGCCCUGGGAGAAGCAGCUGGGCCUGCCGUAAACCCCCGACAUAGGGACCCCCCGUGCCACGCGCAAGCGGGCGAGAGGGACCGCCAUAUGUUGACCUCGGAUCAGGUAGGACUACCCGCUGAACUUAA
rnacentral:misc_RNA from 1 species